rnacentral:lncRNA from 1 species
CUAGACAAAUUCCAUAAGAGCUGUAACACUCUGUGUUUCAGGUAAUAAGUGAAGAAGGGACAAUACGCUAGAUAAUCAGAUACUAUAUGCCUUUUAAAAGAAUACACCAUUACUACGAAGUAGUCUUGCCAAAAAAUCAAACCUAAAAUGGACCAAAGACCUAGGUCAGUCAUUUGCAAACAUCAGUGGGAUUAGGAGAACCCAAAAGGCUUGUUAAAUCAGAUUGCUGGACUGCAAGUCCAGAGUUUCUGAUUAAAUAGGUUUAGGGUAAAGUCCAGUCAUUUUCAUUUCUAAC